CCGAGCUCAUGCCCUCCGGGGUAGAUCUCCCACCCUCUGUUUACAUACUUUGUUGCUUUGGCAGGCCCGUCUCCGGACCGCCGGCUUCGGCUGGCCCGUGCCUGCCAGAGGAUUCAAAACUCUGAUAAUCAUGUCGUCUGAGUACUAUUAUAAAUAGUUA
rnacentral:misc_RNA from 1 species